UACGUAGGGUGCAAGCGUUGUCCGGAAUUAUUGGGCGUAAAGAGCUCGUAGGCGGUCUGUCGCGUCGGCUGUGAAAACUCGGGGCUCAACCCCGAGCCUGCAGUCGAUACGGGCAGACUAGAGUGCGGUAGGGGAGACUGGAAUUCCUGGUGUAGCGGUGAAAUGCGCAGAUAUCAGGAGGAACACCGGUGGCGAAGGCGGGUCUCUGGGCCGUAACUGACGCUGAGGAGCAAAAGCGUGGGGAGCAAACAGG
rnacentral:rRNA from 1 species